AUGCAGGGGAGCUCGCGGAGGCGGGCUGAGAGGAAGCGCGGAAUCGCUUCGACCCGACGAACCUGAUAUGGGUAAUGCCAACGAAGGGAGCA
rnacentral:ncRNA from 1 species